CCCUUAGAUGUCCUGGGCCGCACGCGCGCUACACUGAUGCAUGCAACGAGUUUAUAACCUUGGCCUGAAAGGUCUGGGUAAUCUUUUGAACGAGCAUCGCGAUAGGGAUAGAUUAUUGCAAUUGUUAAUCUUGAACGAGGAAUUCCUAGUAAACGCGAGUCAUCAGCUCGCAUUGAUUACGUCCCUGCCCUUUGUACACACCGCCCGUCGCACCUACCGAUUGAAUGGUUCGGUGAAGAUCUCGGACUUCGAUAUUUAUUCUUUAUUGAGUUUAUAUUGUGGGAAGUUAUCUAAACCUCAUCAUUUAGAGGAAGGUGAAGUCGUAACA
rnacentral:rRNA from 1 species